UCAAAAGAGAAAUCAGUAGGUUUUGACGGUUCCUUCCUAGCGAUCGAAUUCCCCCCUUUUCGCCAUCCAGCCAUGCAACUCAGUGAAGUUCCGGCAUAACAGGUGGAAGGCAGCUGGGGAGGAGUUGGGCAGUAGGAAAACAGUAUGUCCAUGGAUUCAGAGGCAGAGUUUUGUUUCGCAUUGGUCAAAUGUCUGGUCCAAAACAAUUGCGCUGUCGACUGUUGGGAAGAACGUCAACUCCAUCUUCGAGGACGAGGCUCCAGCAUGCAGGGUGGAGAACAAGUGGCUUGGGCCAAUGGGGGCCCGGGCUACUCCAUUAGGGCUCUCGGCUCACCAAAAUCCGCUGAUUAACAAAUGACAUGUCCGACAUUUGCAUUCGCGUGCAAUCAAGUUGGAAGCAUUCUACUGCUUACCUUCCAAGAAGGGGUUUGGGAUCAAGGUUAAUUUUUUAGAAGAGUUUAUUACGCAUAUCGCACGAUUACUUACUCAAUAAUGGUAAUUUCAUUAUUUUAGGUUCCAGUUCAUGUUCGAUUUUGCUUAAUCUCCGCUCUCAAUUUCAAGAAUUGAUGCUCAUCUGAGGUAUGCAAUGAAGGUUACAAGGAAUAUUAA